CUUGUGGGGCCCGGCUGCUGUGGAGCACCACAAGACCAGGAAAUGCCUUGGAGCUUCCCUGUGGAAGCAGGCGAGCUCAGACGACCUGUUGGCUCUGCUGAAACCUGAGAGGAUGCUUCAGACUAUUACACACUUCCCCCAACAACGCAGAAUCAUCCUGCAGGAUGACAAGCAGCGGCUGUUUUCUAACAAUGCAGCUAAGGACCUGGAGAACGUAUAUGAUCCCUGUUUUCUCUUGCCCCUGUUUAGUGCCAUCCUACGUCCCGAGUGUGUGAUUGACUGCCUCAAGUUUGUAU